rnacentral:rRNA from 1 species
CCUACGGGGGGCUGCAGUGGGGAAUAUUGCACAAUGGGCGCAAGCCUGAUGCAGCCAUGCCGCGUGUGUGAAGAAGGCCUUCGGGUUGUAAAGCACUUUCAGCGGGGAGGAAGGCGUUAAGGUUAAUAACCUUGGCGAUUGACGUUACCCGCAGAAGAAGCAACGGCUAACUCCGUGCCAGCAGCCGCGGUAAUACGGAGGGUGCAAGCGUUAAUCGGAAUUACUGGGCGUAAAGCGCACGCAGGCGGUCUGUCAAGUCGGAUGUGAAAUCCCCGGGCUCAACCUGGGAACUGCAUUCGAAACUGGCAGGCUAGAGUCUUGUAGAGGGGGGUAGAAUUCCAGGUGUAGCGGUGAAAUGCGUAGAGAUCUGGAGGAAUACCGGUGGCGAAGGCGGCCCCCUGGACAAAGACUGACGCUCAGGUGCGAAAGCGUGGGGAGCAAACAGGAUUAGAUACCCGGGUAGUC